UGCAAGUCGAGCGAACCGACGGGAGCUUGCUCCCUUAGGUCAGCGGCGGACGGGUGAGUAACACGUGGGUAACCUGCCUGUAAGACUGGGAUAACUCCGGGAAACCGGGGCUAAUACCGGAUGCUUGAUUGAACCGCAUGGUUCAAUCAUAAAAGGCGGCUUCGGCUGCCGUUUACAGAUGGACCCGCGGCGCAUUAGCUAGUUGGUGAGGUAACGGCUCACCAAGGCGACGAUGCGUAGCCGACCUGAGAGGGUGAUCGGCCACACUGGGACUGAGACACGGCCCAGACUCCUACGGGAGGCAGCAGUAGGGAAUCUUCCGCAAUGGACGAGAGUCUGACGGAGCAACGCCGCGUGAGUGAUGAAUGUUUUCGGAUCGUAGAGCUCUGUUGUUAGGGAAGAACAAGUACCGUUCGAAUAGGGCGGUACCUUGACGGUACCUAACCAGAAAGCCACGGCUAACUACGUGCCAGCAGCCGCGGUAAUA
rnacentral:rRNA from 1 species